ACGCAUACCCCACCUCCCCCAAAUCUCACGUUGUCACCUUCCUUUCCAGUUUCCAUCGAAGAAAUCAAAACUCACAACGAAAUUCCACCAAAAUUCAACCCCCACCGUCGAUUUUCCCUCAGCCGCCAAUCGCCGCUUCGCCGUCGCCGGAGCUCGCACAGCUCCCUUCUUUCAUCCCAUUGCCUCGGCCGCACAUCCUCAAUCACACAGUGCGAGGAAUAGAACAGGGCGGAGCAGGAAAAUUGGAGCCCUACGAUGGGGGUGGAUUACUACAACAUCCUCAAAGUCAACCGCAACGCCAGUGUCGAAGAUUUGAAGAGAGCCUACCGCCGCUUGGCGAUGAUUUGGCAUCCCGACAAGAAUGCGAACAAGCAGGAAGCCGAGGCCAAAUUCAAGCAGAUUUCUGAGGCGUACGAUGUCCUGAGCGACCCGCAGAAGCGCCAGAUCUACGAUCUCUACGGCGAGGAGGGCCUCAAAUCGGGCCAAUGUCCGCCUCCACCGCGCAGUACGAGGGCCAACAACCAGGGGUUUCAGUACAACCAUCAGCAGCACCCAAACCCUAAUUUCAGAUUUAAUCCGAGGAAUGCUGAUGAUAUUUAUGCGGAGUUUUUUGGGGAGAGUAGUAAUGGGAAUGCCGGCGGUGGUGGAAGUAGUAGUAGUGGUGCCGGUAGAAGAGAUGCGUUUUUUAGGAGCACGACGAUGAAUGGUGGGGCUAGAGAGAGUUCGGGCGGCGGAGGAUCGAGGAAGGCGCCACCGGUGGAGAAUGCGCUGAUGUGUAGCUUGGAGGAGUUGUAUACUGGUUCGACGAGGAAGAUGAAGAUUUCAAGGAAUGUUCUUGAUUCUCAUGGUAGGACUCGUAUGUUGGAUGAGAUCCUGACUAUUGACAUAAAACCUGGCUGGAAGAAGGGCACGAAGAUUACUUUCCCAGAGAAGGGUAAUGAAGAACCAGGCGUGAUUCCUGCAGAUCUCAUUUUCGUAGUAGACGAAAAACCUCACUCAGUUUAUACAAGAGAAGGGAAUGACUUGGUGGUGAAGCAGGAGAUAACUCUCCUCGAGUCCCUCACCGGGAAAUCUUUUGAGCUUACCACACUGGAUGGCCGGAACCUAACAGUCCCUUUAACAGAGAUUGUGAAACCUGGACAUGAGAUUUCUGUCCCUAAUGAAGGGAUGCCCGUCUCGAAGGAUCCUAGAAAAAGGGGAAGUCUGAGGAUUCAAAUCGAUGUCAGGUACCCCAAAAGGCUCACCGAAGCCCAAAAGUAUGAACUGAGGAGGGUUUUGGGUGGGAACUCGUGAUAUCAUCCCCUGAAUCAUACGAGUCACACUAUUAGUACAGGCAGAUGGUGCAGCGUUCGGGUGUAAAUACCAAAAAGUAUGCUGCUAUUGAAGUAUGUGAAUAUUAGAAAGAUGUUGAAGUUUUUCUUCUCAACAGCUCCUCCAUGCCCCUGCUGGACAAGUGCCUCAAGCAGAUACCUAGUACAACUUUUCGUGGGAUAAGAAGAUGUUCGCCAUAUUUAUGUCGGCUUCACUAUGGCUGCCUGAAUUUGCUGCCUGUUGAGAAAUGCAUCAAAUUUUAUGACAGGGAAAUAUUGAUAUAGCAACACAUUGAUAUGCCCCAAGAAAGGAAUUCAUAUAGGAAUUCAGUCGAUCAGUAUCAUAUCAUGUCAUUAAAAAGUUCCUGUUUAAACAUUGAUGUCAAAGCAGAUCCUGUAAGUAGGUGAGAAAAGAUGGUGGAUAGUUGAACUAAACAUGUAAUUUUUUAAGCUUUCAUGGUCAGCUUGGACCUAAGGUUUCUUAAAAAAUUUAAGAUAAUAUUACGAACAUUA